rnacentral:lncRNA from 1 species
UAGACCCUAGCCAGCUAACCAAAGUAGGUAGAUUUAUAGAUCACCUUAAAAUAAGGUUGAUUGCACAGUAAAUGUCACCUUUGGAAUCGACUUCAGGUGAUCUGCCUCGGCCUCCCAGAGUUCUGGGCUUACAGGCGUGAGCCACUGUGCCCGGCCUCAGUACCUCUUUUUAAGAUGCUCUCAUUCAUUCCGUGGUGAAAAGAUGCUUGAAGUGCAAGGGCAGGUAGGUGUGGAAAGCAUGGAGGGUUUGUGUUGCUUCAUUUGUUUUGGUGUUUGUUUUUUCCACCAGUCCCUCCCUCUGGCUUUCUGCCUCCCAGUCCAGCAUAUCCUGAUCUUGUAGCCAUGCAGGACUUUGACCCGUGUGGUGGUUUGCCAUUGUCUUCUUCCAGGUGAAGAUAAGACAUCAUUGGUUUGGCUUGAGGUUGUACUUUUGGCCUUCCCUGUAUAUCCUCUUCCUGCUUAUCCUCUCCGUCAGCAUGCUUGGUUGGACUCUGUAGUGAAAUGUGUCAUUCUCUUUAUUCUGACUGUCCCUAUAUUAGUCCUGUCUUCAUAAAAAAUACAAUCGUAAAGAUACAAUAUCUACUAUUUGUUAAAAGUUUUGUGCCAGGCCAGGUGCGGUGGCUCACGCCUGUAAUCCCAGCACUUCAGGAGGCUGAGGUGGGUGGAUCAUUUGAGCCCAGGACUUCAAUACUAGUCUGGGCAACAUGGUGAAACCUCGUUUCUACAAAAAAUGCAAAAAUUAACCGGGUAUGGUGGCACACGCCUAUAGUCCCAGCUACUUGGAGGCUGAGGUGGGUGGGUCACUGAGCACAGGUCAAGGCUACUGUGAGCCAAGAUUGUACCACUGUACUCCAGCCUGGG